GUUCUGCAAUAUUUUGAAACCAAACAAUGAUGACAAUCAGGCAUCAAUUUCAUGAUAACUCUUGCAACAUUUCGGGCAAUUGAUCUUAUGUUUUCAAAAACAAACCCCAAUCACUGUUGCUAAUGUAUUAAAAAUAAAGGGGGCAUUUUUUGUAAUCUAACUUUGUACAUGCAUUAGUAUGCAAGCAAAAUAUGUACCUGGUUUACUGCAUAAGACCU
rnacentral:misc_RNA from 1 species